rnacentral:rRNA from 1 species
GAUGAACGCUGGCGGCGUGCCUAAUACAUGCAAGUCGAGCGAACGGACGAGAAGCUUGCUUCCCUGCUGUUAGCGGCGGACGGGUGAGUAACACGUGGAUAACCUACCUAUAAUACUGGGAUAACUUCGGGAAACCGGAGCUACUACCGGCUAAUAUUUUGAACCGCAUGGUUCAAAAGUGAAUGACGGUCUUGCUGUCACUUAUAGAUGGAUCCGCGCUGCAUUAGCUAGUUGGUAAGGUAACGGCUUACCAAGGCAACGAUGCAUAGCCGACCUGAGAGGGUGAUCAGCCACACUGGAACUGAGACACGGUCCAGACUCCUACGGGAGGCAGCAGUAGGGAAUCUUCCGCAAUGGGCGAAAGCCUGACGGAGCAACGCCGCGUGAGUGAUGAAGGUCUUCGGAUCGUAAAACUCUGUUAUUAGGGAAGAACAUAUGUGUAAGUAACUGUGCACAUCUUGACGGUACCUAAACAGAAAGCCACGGCUAACUACGUG